GAUGAACGCUAGCGGCAGGCUUAACACAUGCAAGUCGAGGGGCAGCAUGAGGGUUAGCAAUAACUCUUGAUGGCGACCGGCGCAAGGGUGCGUAACGCGUGAGCAACUUGCCCGCUUCUGGGGAAUAACCGGUGGAAACGCCGACUAAUACCCCAUAGUAUUGAGUUUAGGCAUCUUUACUCAAUUAAAGAAUUUCGGAAACGGAUAGGCUCGCGUGACAUUAGCUAGAUGGCGGGGUAACGGCCCACCAUGGCGACGAUGUCUAGGGGUUCUGAGAGGAAGGUCCCCCACACUGGAACUGAGACACGGUCCAGACUCCUACGGGAGGCAGCAGUGAGGAAUAUUGGUCAAUGGUCUGACGACUGAACCAGCCAUGCCGCGUGAAGGUCACGGCCCUAUGGGUCUUAAACUUCUUUUGUAAGGGAGCAAUAAGUUCUACGUGUAGGAUGAUGAGAGUACCUUACGAAUAAGCAUCGGCUAACUCCGUGCCAGCAGCCGCAGUAAAAC
rnacentral:rRNA from 1 species